rnacentral:rRNA from 1 species
AUUGAACGCUGGCGGCAGGCCUAACACAUGCAAGUCGAGCGGAUGAAGGGAGCUUGCUCCUGGAUUCAGCGGCGGACGGGUGAGUAAUGCCUAGGAAUCUGCCUGGUAGUGGGGGAUAACGUCCGGAAACGGGCGCUAAUACCGCAUACGUCCUGAGGGAGAAAGUGGGGGAUCUUCGGACCUCACGCUAUCAGAUGAGCCUAGGUCGGAUUAGCUAGUUGGUGGGGUAAAGGCCUACCAAGGCGACGAUCCGUAACUGGUCUGAGAGGAUGAUCAGUCACACUGGAACUGAGACACGGUCCAGACUCCUACGGGAGGCAGCAGUGGGGAAUAUUGGACAAUGGGAGAAAGCCUGAUACAGCCAUGCCGCGUGUGUGAAGAAGGUCUUCGGAUUGUAAAGCACUUUAAGUUGGGAGGAAGGGCAGUAAGUUAAUACCUUGCUGUUUUGACGUUACCAACAGAAUAAGCACCGGCUAACUUCGUG